rnacentral:rRNA from 1 species
GGACUACUGGGGUAUCUAAUCCUGUUUGCUCCCCACGCUUUCGCGCCUCAGCGUCAAUCACAGUCCAGAUAGCCGCCUUCGCCACCGGUGUUCUUCCCAAUAUCUACGAAUUUCACCUCUACACUGGGAAUUCCGCUAUCCUCUCCUGCAUUCAAGCCAAUCAGUAUCAAAUGCAGUCCCCAGGUUAAGCCCAGGACUUUCACAUCUGACUUGAUCGGCCGCCUACGCGCCCUUUACGCCCAGUAAUUCCGAACAACGCUCGCCCCCUUCGUAUUACCGCGGCUGCUGGCAC